AAUUAUGGUACCACCCACUUAGUAAAGGACUGUGGUUAAUCUGCAUAUGCACAUUAGCGGAUUAAAAAGCUUUAAAACAAAGAGGAAGUAGGAAAAGAACUACAUUUCCCAUCUGCCCUGGCUGUCACAGGCUAAUAGCACCAGCUGCUUUCCAUUGCCCUAAUGAGUGAUUCUACUGCGGCAACGAGACCAAAUACAACGAAAGUAUUGAUGCUGCAAAAGAAGACGGAUCUUUUGGUAGGCUGGUUAAUGAUGACCACAAGCACCCAAAUGGCAGAAUGCAGAAGACUGAAGUGGAUGGAAGCCCACAUCUUGGUCUGUUUGCUUUAACAGACUUUAAAGAAGGUGAUGAAAUUACCUACAAUUACGGAGGAGGAGACUGGCCUUGGUGUAGCAAGAUUAUGGAGGAGGACACUGCUGAGAGCAAUGGCCAGGAGAAACAGCACCCAUCACAGUCUACACCUUUUCUGGAUCAUAAAUAUCAGAAUUGUGUAGUUUGCUGGCACUUUUAAUCCUGCCUUUCAAUCACACCUCUCCAUAAUUUCCAACAUAAGCAUCCCCUGGGACUCAGUAGGUUCCCUACUGCAUCUUCUCCAAGAAAACUGAGUACUCUUAGUUACUAUUUGGUACAUAUGCACAAACUGCAGUCAGAGUUUUCAUUCGUGAGACGUGAAAUGUAAAACAUCUACUCUGAAAAAGAGGAAGGCUCAGGAAGGAAAUGAGGUCCAUGCAGUG